rnacentral:lncRNA from 1 species
UCGUCCUUCUUUUCUGUGCCACUUUUGAAGCCGAAGCAGCCAAAAUGGUCAUUGGUUACAAAACUGAUACACAAUGGAAGAACAGAACAUGAAGGCCUAGAAAACAGUACGAUCUUGGAAACAAAAGUGGAGACUUUUGAGGCUCAACUUGACAGCUUUGAAAAGGGGCUGGAAGGAGGAUUUAGGAGCCUGAUUAGAUCAAGAAGCUUGCUCCUGAAUGUUUUCUCCUGCUAAUAUGGAAGUUCCAUCUCCAUUAACUGUAUAGUAUUACCGCAUUUUGUACAUGGAUAAUUUUGUACUUGUGUUAGAAAUAUAUAUUACAGAAAUUGAAUAGACUAUACUCAAAACUUCGUAUAUCUUUCUCUCUAUCUGGGUUAUCUGACUCCCUUCUGCCCCUACCUAGCUAUGUUUCAUCAAUCUGGAUAUGCAUCUCAUGGGUUACAACUUAGGAAGACAGUUGCAGGUUCCUAAAUAAGACUUUUUUAACUUGCUCGAGCUUGGAUUUUCCAACAAGAAGCCUAUAAUAAGAUGCAUUUUCUUUAAGUGUGUUUCAGUAUUUCUAAAAUUGAUCCACUAACUUAAUUUACCCCUUAUCUGGCACAAAGUUGUCUGAAAAUAACUUAAUGAGCCCCUCGUGCACAGCUAUAUAAAGUUAUAAACUACUUUUUUUACGCAUCUUCAAUUUCAUCUGGAGUAUCUUAGAAAACAACAGUUUCAGAAAUAUGUACAGUAAGUUUCCUUGUUAAUUAGGUGUGGACCUGCGGUGCGAUUAUGGAAUCUGUAAUCUACAGGGCCAACAAGCCAGACAUGUUUAGUGUCAAUCUAUUAAUGGAACACAAGCUCCUGAAAACGAGGCAGCAAUUAAGCCAUUGGGCCAUAUGCACGAGCCAAUUUACAAAACACAUGCUCUUCUUAUCUCAAAUGAUUAAAUGACCUUACUUGGGGCUUACUAUUCAUCUCAAUUUUGUCUCUCCCAAGCAAGAAAAGCAGUAAAAUCCACUGCCAUUUUUCAAAAUUCAACCACAUUCACUCAAUCAGUUCAGUUACCCCUCUAGAUCACAAAUACUUUUGGUAAAUUUGAGAUAUGCAAUAUGAAUGUUUAGCCUCCAACUUGGAAUGCUAUCCAUCCAUAUCUCUGGAUGGAGAACUACUACAAAAUGAGUGCAUUUGCCUUUGUUAUCUUCAUAAGCAGCAUUUGAAUUGUUAAAAACAUGUUAUGAAUGAAAUCCAAUAAAGGUAUAAAAUAAAUUUGAAGAACCAAUUAGGAUAUAAAUGGCAUUCACUUUGGUUUGGGGAAUGAAUUCUAGAACUUUUCUCAAAAUAGUCUUUCGAAAUGUUCAAUGUGUGAUAAUCUAGGUAAAGGAAAAAACAUUCAUGGGACUGCUUAGAAAAAAGAAGAAGAUAGAAUGGGAUUACGAGAAAGAGAACAAGUAAUACCUAACAGAGUAAAAAGUACAUACCAAUCUAGUUUUGGGUUAACCUUUUUAUCUUCUUCAUCCUUCACUGAUAUCUUUAAAAGAUCAAUUAGUAUAGAAGGCACAUGAGUUAUCUGAAACUAACCACAAUUUCCCCACAACCACUUAUUUCCAAAUUUUUGAGAGAAAACAAAUAUGAAAGUCAUCCAAGGACAAUAAGUUGGGGGCAACUUCUUAUUACUACGAGGUAGGCAAGGAAAGUCACCAUUUAUCACUCUUUUAGGCCACGCAUAUCAGAAAUUAUCGGGAUCUCUAGUUUGGGAAUGUGUGAUAUACAUCAUUGUCAUAACUUCUACGAAAACGAUCAUCAAUAACCCCCCUUCCUUAAAUCCCC